UACGAAGGGGGGCUAGCGUUGCUCGGAAUCACUGGGCGUAAAGGGUGCGUAGGCGGGUUUUUAAGUCAGGGGUGAAAUCCUGGAGCUCAACUCCAGAACUGCCUUUGAUACUGAAGAUCUUGAGUCCGGGAGAGGUGAGUGGAACUGCGAGUGUAGAGGUGAAAUGCGUAGAUAUCUGGAGGAACACCGGUGGCGAAGGCGGCAUCCUGGACCAACACUGACGCUGAGGAGCGAAAGCCAGGGGAGCAAACGGG
rnacentral:rRNA from 1 species